rnacentral:rRNA from 1 species
AUUGAACGCUGGCGGCAUGCCUUACACAUGCAAGUCGAACGGCAGCGGGCCUUCGGGUGCCGGCGAGUGGCGAACGGGUGAGUAAUGCAUCGGAACGUGCCAUUGAGUGGGGGGAUAACGUAGCGAAAGUUGCGCUAAUACCGCAUAUUCUGUGAGCAGGAAAGCAGGGGACCGCAAGGCCUUGCGCUCUUUGAGCGGCCGAUGUCAGAUUAGCUAGUUGGUGAGGUAAAGGCUUACCAAGGCGACGAUCUGUAGCGGGUCUGAGAGGAUGAUCCGCCACACUGGAACUGAGACACGGUCCAGACUCCUACGGAGGCAGCAGUGGGAAUUUUGGACAAUGGGGGCAACCCUGAUCCAGCCAUGCCGCGUGAGUGAAGAAGGCC